rnacentral:rRNA from 1 species
ACGCUCGACACCUACGGAAGGCAGCAGUGGGGAAUAUUGCACAAUGGGGGAAACCCUGAUGCAGCGACGCCGCGUGAGCGAAGAAGUAUUUCGGUAUGUAAAGCUCUAUCAGCAGGGAAGAUCAUGACGGUACCUGACUAAGAAGCUCCGGCUAAAUACGUGCCAGCAGCCGCGGUAAUCUGAGCGGGCUGGCAAGGC